UUCAGUUGGAUGUGCUUUUUUUCAUGUAAGAAAUUUCAACAGCGUCUGCAAAACAAUACAAAUAUAUGCACAUGCUCAACCGCGCCUUCUGCCUGCUAGUCUAUACCUAUACUAACAAAGGACAGGUCGCUUCUGCCUGCACGUCGUUGGCGUUUUUGGGAAACCUCCCUAUGUUUCUUCGAAAUCAAUCCACAGUGCUUCAAUAAGUGGGAAAAAUGAUUUUUUAAUAAAAAACACCCUGGCAGCAUCACUUCAGCGCGCC
rnacentral:lncRNA from 1 species